rnacentral:rRNA from 1 species
CCUACGGGUGGCAGCAGUGAGGAAUAUUGGUCAAUGGACGAGAGUCUGAACCAGCCAAGUAGCGUGAAGGAUGACUGCCCUAUGGGUUGUAAACUUCUUUUAUAUGGGAAUAAAACGUUCCACGUGUGGGAUUUUGUAUGUACCAUAUGAAUAAGGAUCGGCUAACUCCGUGCCAGCAGCCGCGGUAAUACGGAGGAUCCGAGCGUUAUCCGGAUUUAUUGGGUUUAAAGGGAGCGUAGGUGGAUUGUUAAGUCAGUUGUGAAAGUUUGCGGCUCAACCGUAAAAUUGCAGUUGAAACUGGCAGUCUUGAGUACAGUAGAGGUGGGCGGAAGUCGUGGUGUAGCGGUGAAAUGCUUAGAUAUCACGAAGAACUCCGAUUGCGAAGGCAGUUCACUGGACUGCAACUGACACUGAGGCUCGAAAGUGUGGGUAUCAAACAGGAUUAGAUACCCGAGUAGUA